UGGGGAAUAUUGGACAAUGGGCGCAAGCCUGAUCCAGCCAUGCCGCGUGAGUGAUGACGGCCUUAGGGUUGUAAAGCUCUUUCGUCAGGGACGAUAAUGACGGUACCUGAAGAAGAAGCCCCGGCUAACUUCGUGCCAGCAGCCGCGGUAAUACGAAGGGGGCUAGCGUUGUUCGGAAUUACUGGGCGUAAAGCGCGUGUAGGCGGGUCUUUAAGUCAGGGGUGAAAUGCCAGGGCUCAACCUUGGAACUGCCUUUGAUACUGGAGAUCUUGAGUCCGGGAGAGGUGAGUGGAGCUGCGAGUGUAGAGGUGAAAUUCGUAGAUAUUCGCAAGAACACCAGUGGCGAAGGCGGCUCACUGGCCCGGUACUGACGCUGAGAUGCGAAAGCGUGGGGAGCAAACAGGAUUAGAUACCCUGGUAGUCCACGCUGUAAACGAUGGAUGCUAGCCGUUAGGCAGCUUGCUGCUUAGUGGCGCAGUUAACACUUUAAGCAUCCCGCCUGGGGAGUACGGUCGCAAGAUUA
rnacentral:rRNA from 1 species